GAGUUUGAUCUUGGCUCAGAUUGAACGCUGGCGGCAUGCCUUACACAUGCAAGUCGAACGGCAGCACGGGAGCUUGCUCCUGGUGGCGAGUGGCGAACGGGUGAGUAAUGCAUCGGAACGUAUCCUGGAGUGGGGGAUAACGUAGCGAAAGUUACGCUAAUACCGCAUAUUCUGUGAGCAGGAAAGCGGGGGACCUUCGGGCCUCGCGCUCUUGGAGCGGCCGAUGUCGGAUUAGCUAGUUGGUGAGGUAAAGGCUCACCAAGGCGACGAUCCGUAGCAGGUCUGAGAGGAUGAUCAGUCACACUGGAACUGAGACACGGUCCAGACUCCUACGGGAGGCAGCAGUGGGGAAUAUUGGACAAUGGGCGAAAGCCUGAUCCAGCCAUGCCGCGUGUGUGAAGAAGGUCUUCGGAUUGUAAAGCACUUUAAGUUGGGAGGAAGGGCUGUAAGUUAAUACCUUGCUGUUUGACGUUACCGACAGAAUAAGCACCGGCUAACUCUGUG
rnacentral:rRNA from 1 species